UAAUACAGAGGGGGCAAGCGUUAUUCGGAAUUAUUGGGCGUAAAGGGCGCGUAGGCGGCUUUUCAAGUGACGGGUGAAAUCCCUCGGCUUAACCGAGGAACUGCCUGUCAGACUGGAAGGCUUGAGACCGGGAGAGGUGAGUGGAAUUCCCAGUGUAGCGGUGAAAUGCGUAGAUAUUGGGAGGAA
rnacentral:rRNA from 1 species